CGAACUGCAUUGCUUGUUAUUGCUUCCCAAACUUGUUAUGGGGGAAUCACUUAUUAACGAGUGUUGCAAGACAGCCAUUGGCGUCUGUUUCGCAGGAUGGGAGGAAAAAGGAGCCAGACUUUCAUAUCCCAUUCGUCCUUGCAGAAAGGCUUUUGAACGGUUUUCUUGGAUUCCUCACCUCAGGAUGUAUUUGUCUUGUCUGUCUGGGGCCGCUUCACUAAGUAGCUAUGUCAAUUGAAAGGCUUUUUUCCCGAGCUCACCACCUUUUUUAAUUAAAGCCUUUCAAACUUGC